UCAAGAGUGGCAGAAAAGUGCAAUGAACUUAAAAUUCAUAAAUAAAUAAAAAUUCCUUG
rnacentral:tRNA from 1 species